UAUGGCACUCUUUGAAGCCAGGAAACUGGUAGAUUCUUCCGCUUUUCUAGAAUUCGUUGUGCUCUGUGGAUUUGAAAACACAUAUAUUAAUAUCCAGGAAAGUGUUUUUAUACCUUUUAAGCUUGUAUUAAUUUCUAUUUCAAGUUCUCAUUAUACUUACAUUAAUUUGCAGUGAUUCUCGAUUCCAAAUUUGCGUAGAUUUACUAACAUAUAUAUGGGUUCAAAUUCCAAAUAUUUAUCUUAAUCAAUUCCUCUCACAGUAUGACCAAAAUUUUCCAGAAGACAAAAAUGCACAAGUGUGUAGGGAACCAUAAACUGUUAGUUGAAUAUACAAGUAGUUAUAUCAUUUACUCUUUACUAGGAUAAGACCUGCAUCUUGCGCAUGGUAAAUUUAUAUGAAAAUUAUUUAAGAAAUAUUGUAUGAAAAAAAUUUUAUGUUAUCGAUCGAAUUAAUAUAUUUAACUCUUAAACAAUUUUUUUAAUUUUUUUUUGUUAAUUACAUAAUUUGUUUACUAAUGAACUGAACUUAUUUUUAAAAAUAUUUUAGGUCAAAAAAUUAUUUAUCGCAUAAAAACUUAACGUUUAGGCUGAAGAAUCUCAUGCCUACUAUUUGGUUACAAUGAAACUAUGUUAGCUCGGUUUUAUAUCAUGAUUUAGUAAUUCAAAAUUUAAUUAUGGUUAUGAGAAGUUUACGUUCACGUACCAAUCCUAUAUAUCUAUAGAGAUGUCAACUUAAGUAUUGGACCGCGGGCCUGGCUUGUACGGGCUUGGUCUGGGGCGGGUUUGGGCCGAGAUAAUCAUAACCCGCAAAUUAGCGGGCCUUUUGGGUGUGGGCUUGCGCGGUGCCUGGUUUAUUGCGGGACGGCCCAUAUCACCCGCGGGAAAGCUCAUUGGGACCGCAUCUAGACGCUUCUUCGACUUCCUCACCUGAAUCAAAACAAGAUAGAGAGAGUGAAAAGCGAUGGAGCUUCGUCGAUGAUGGUGUGACGAACUGGAGCUCCGGCGAAGGCCGUUCGAUGUCCGAUCGGCGAGGCGGCGUCAGUGCUUCUGGUGACCGAAUCGCGUUCGAGCUGCAGCAGAGGAGCUUCUCUUCCUCGUCGUUCCAUCACCGGAGCUGUUCAUCUUCCUCGUUCCAUCACCAGGGCUUCUCUUCUUCAUUGAUCUACCACUGCAUGCCAUAGAUUAUCACCGAGCUACCACCGGAUCUUCUCUUCUUCACUGAGGCACCACCGAAUCUACUCCUCUGCAUCGAGCCACCACCGUAGCUUAUCUUCUUCAACGAGCCACCACCAUAGCUUCUCUUCUUCACGGAGCCACCACCGGAGGUUCUCUGCUUCACGGAGCCACCACCGGAGCUUCUCUUCUUCACUGAGCCACCACCGGAGCUACUCCUCUGCGUCGAGCCGUAGCUUCUCUUCUUCACCGAGCUACAACCGUAGCUUCUCUUCUUCACCGAGCCACCACCGGAGGUUCUCUGCUUCACGGAGCCACCACCAGAGCUUGUCUUCUUCACUGAGCCACCACCGGAGCUACUCCUCUGCGUAGAGCCAUAGAUUCUCUUCUUCACCGAGCCACAACCGUAGCUUCUCUUCUUCACCGAGCCACCACCGGAGGUUCUCUGCUUCACGGAGCCACCACCAGAGCUUGUCUUCUUCACUGAGCCACCACCGGAGCUACUCCUCUGCGUCGAGCCGUAGCUUCUCUUCUUCACCGAGCCACGUAAAAAGUUUGAUGGGGAACAAAGCGGGAACUCUUGAAGAUAUUGUGGACGCAUACUUGGCAUAUGGAGUGAUGUCUCGAUAUAACAGCCAAAGGACCUCGGAAGCAAAAGUAGCUUGAAGCAGCUAGUAUGGUGUUUUCUGUGACAUCCCGCGGGAUAGCCCGCGAAGGCUUACACAUUUUGCGGUAGGAGAUUGGGUAGCCAGUUUCAGGACCGCGUCCCGCGCGGGACGGUCCUGCCGUGUACUGCCAGAAGAGAAACCCGCAGCGGGUCGGGACGGGACGGGACGGGAGAGCCCAGUUGCCAUCCCUAUCUAUCUUUGAUAGUUUUCUCUUUUUUGUGUCAUUUUGGUUAUUGCUUGAUAUAAAUAUUGAUUUUUGAGUUUAUUCUCAUUUCUUUCUUUUAUUUUGGCCAGAGAUUUAGAAAAUGUUUAAAAUUCAAAAUUAUUAAAGAGAUAUAUAUUUAGGUUAA